AUCCAGCUGACGAGUCCCAAAUAGGAUAGAUGAAAUGCGCAUCCUGGAU
rnacentral:hammerhead_ribozyme from 1 species